GCGCGUCUAAUACAUGCAAGUCGAGCGAAUGGAUUAAGAGCUUGCUCUUAGGUGAGUUAGCGGCGGACGGGUGAGUAACACGUGGGUAACCUGCCCAUAAGACUGGGAUAACUCCGGGAAACCGGGGCUAAUACCGGAUAACAUUUUGAACCGCAUGGUUCGAAAUUGAAAGGCGGCUUCGGCUGUCACUUAUGGAUGGACCCGCGUCGCAUUAGCUAGUUGGUGAGGUAACGGCUCACCAAGGCAACGAUGCGUAGCCGACCUGAGAGGGUGAUCGGCCACACUGGGACUGAGACACGGCCCAGACUCCUACGGGAGGCACAGUAGGGAAUCUUCCGCAAUGGACGAAAGUCUGACGGAGCAACGCCGCGUGAGUGAUGAAGGCUUUCGGGUCGUAAAACUCUGUUGUUAGGGAAGAACAAGUGCUAGUUGAAUAAGCUGGCACCUUGACGGUACCUAACCAGAAAGCCACGGCUAACUACGUGCCAGCAGCCGCGGUAAUACGUAGGUGGCAAGCGUUAUCCGGAAUUAUUGGGCGUAAAGCGCGCGCAGGUGGUUUCUUAAGUCUGAUGUGAAAGCCCACGGCUCAACCGUGGAGGGUCAUUGGAAACUGGGAGACUUGAGUGCAGAAGAGGAAAGUGGAAUUCCAUGUGUAGCGGUGAAAUGCGUAGAGAUAUGGAGGAACGACCAGUGGCGAAGGCGACUUUCUGGUCUGUAACUGACACUGAGGCGCGAAAGCGUGGGGAGCAAAAGGAUUAGAUACCCUGGUAGUCCACGCCGUAAACGAUGAGUGCUAAGUGUUAGAGGGUUUCCGCCCUUUAGUGCUGAAGUUAACGCAUUAAGCACUCCGCCUGGGGAGUACGGCCGCAAGGCUGAAACUCAAAGGAAUUGACGGGGGCCCGCACAAGCGGUG
rnacentral:rRNA from 1 species